rnacentral:rRNA from 1 species
CCUACGGGGGGCAGCAGUGGGGAAUAUUGCACAAUGGGGGAAACCCUGAUGCAGCGACGCCGCGUGAGCGAUGAAGGCUUUCGGGUCGUAAAGCUCUGUCCUAAGGGAAGAUAAUGACGGUACCUUAGGAGGAAGCCCCGGCUAACUACGUGCCAGCAGCCGCGGUAAUACGUAGGGGGCGAGCGUUGUCCGGAAUUACUGGGCGUAAAGGGUGCGUAGGCGGUCAUGUAAGUCAGAUGUGAAAGCCCUCGGCUUAACCGAGGUAAGCAUUUGAAACUGCAUAACUUGAGUGCAGGAGAGGAGAGUGGAAUUCCUAGUGUAGCGGUGAAAUGCGUAGAUAUUAGGAAGAACACCAGUGGCGAAGGCGACUCUCUGGACUGUAACUGACGCUGAGGCACGAAAGCGUGGGGAGCGAACAGGAUUAGAUACCCCCGUAGUC